GCGGACGGGUGAGNUAACACGAUAGGGUAACCUACCUAUAAGACUGNGGNAUAACUUCGGGAAACCGGAGCUAAUACCGGAUAAUAUUUCGAACCGCAUGGUUCGAUAGUGAAAGAUGGCUUUGCUAUCACUUAUAGAUGGACCUGCGCCGUAUUAGCUAGUUGGUAAGGUAACGGCUUACCAAGGCAACGAUACGUAGCCGACCUGAGAGGGUGAUCGGCCACACUGGAACUGAGACACGGUCCAGACUCCUACGGGAGGCAGCAGUAGGGAAUCUUCCGCAAUGGGCGAAAGCCUGACGGAGCAACGCCGCGUGAGUGAUGAAGGUCUUCGGAUCGUAAANCUCUGUUAUUAGGGAAGAACAAACGUGUAAGUAACUGUGCACGUCUUGACGGUACCUAAUCAGAAAGCCACGGCUAACUACGUGCCAGCAGCCGCGGUAAUACGUAGGUGGCAAGCGUUAUCCGGAAUUAUUGGGCGUAAAGCGCGCGUAGGCGGUUUUUUAAGUCUGAUGUG
rnacentral:rRNA from 1 species